UACGUAGGUGGCAAGCGUUGUCCGGAAUUAUUGGGCGUAAAGCGCGCGCAGGCGGUCCUUUAAGUCUGAUGUGAAAGCCCACGGCUCAACCGUGGAGGGUCAUUGGAAACUGGGGGACUUGAGUGCAGAAGAGGAAAGCGGAAUUCCACGUGUAGCGGUGAAAUGCGUAGAGAUGAUGGAGGAACACCAGUGGCGAAGGCGGCUUUCUGGUCUGUAACUGACGCUGAGGCGCGAAAGCGUGGGGAGCAAACAGG
rnacentral:rRNA from 1 species